rnacentral:rRNA from 1 species
GGUUUUGCGACUAUAUUUUCCAUUCGGAGGAAAUGAAACUAACAAGGAUUCCCCUAGUAGCGGCGAGCGAAGCGGGAAGAGCUCAAAUUUAUAAUCUGGCACCUUCGGUGUCCGAGUUGUAAUCUCUAGAAGUGUUUUCCGCGUUGGACCGCACACAAGUCUGUUGGAAUACAGCGGCAUAGUGGUGAAACCCCCGUAUAUGGUGCGGACGCCCAGCGCUUUGUGAUACACUUUCAAUGAGUCGAGUUGUUUGGGAAUGCAGCUCAAAUUGGGUGGUAAAUUCCAUCUAAAGCUAAAUAUUGGCGAGAGACCGAUAGCGAACAAGUACCGUGAGGGAAAGAUGAAAAGCACUUUGGAAAGAGAGUUAACAGUACGUGAAAUUGUUGGAAGGGAAACGCUUGAAGUCAGACUUGCUUGCCGGAGCUUGCUUCGGUUUGCAGGCCAGCAUCAGUUUUCCGGGGUGGAUAAUGACGGUUUGAAGGUAGCAGUCUCGGCUGUGUUAUAGCUUUCCGUGGAUACGCCCUGGGGGACUGAGGAACGCAGCGUGCUUUUUGCGAAAGUACUU